GGGGUCGCAGAGAGUCAAACACGAGUGAAUUUCACUUCCUCCACUGGGAAUAUGCUCUCUUCUAAGAGCAAGAGAAUAUAAAGCAGAAAGGCAAAGUAGUGAGCAUUUCCCUAGGUGUUUUUGAUACACACACAUUCUCUCUCAGGUCAGGGGUUUAAGAUGGAUAAUAAGGUUGAGUCUUAAGGUUGUAUGUUAACUUAGGUGUCUCUACAUGAAGGCAAACUGAUUUGAUGGUUACCUCAAGUAAUUGAUACAUACUCUUAAACAACCAUCUUGAUAUUUUUAAACAAAUUAAUCGGUGUGAGUUUCUCAAACCAGUCAUUUGGGGUUGUAUAUUUAUGUAGUUUUAGUUAGGAAAAGUGCCCUGAAAUAAAUGAGCUAAGAUUGAAAGGAUAUAAGGGUUUUGAAUCAGGUAAUAGAUAUGGUGAGUAGAGUCUGGAAAGAAAGGUCCAAAGAGGAGGUUAGUUUGUAAGUCAUUGUAUGCAUUUAAAAGGGACCAAAGAGAAAAGAAGGAAAACUAGUGGGAAUCUUGAGUCUAGUGUGGAGUAAGUUUCUAGUUCAGUUUCAGGGUGUGAUGUUCAAGUAAAAGAUUAGGUAUAUGGCUUUUUGGCCUUCCACAGGGAAAGGAGGAAAGCAGGUUAAUUGUUAUGGGACCCAGGAGAGGUAAAUAAGUAGGGGUUAGAGAAACAUGGGGAAAUCCAGUGAACAGAUGAUGUAGGAGACAAAAUUGUGAUAGUAGGCUUGGGAAAUAAAAAGAUGGUGAAUAUUACUGUCCACAGUGGAUGAGUUUGGAAAGAGAGAGGUAAAUUUGGCGAGAGUUGGAGAAGAAGGUAGGCAGUGAGUGGGCUAAUAAAGCAGAGAGAUAGAAAAUAAGGAGAAAGGGCUCUCGCUCGCUCGUUCUCUUUCUGCCGCCAUCUUGGUUCCGCGUUCCCCGCACAAAAUGCCUGGUGAAGCCACAGAAACCGUCCCUGCUACAGAGCAGGAGUUGCCACAGCCCCAGGCUGAGACAGGGUCUGGAACAGAAUCUGAUAGUGAUGAAUCAGUCCCAGAGCUUGAGGAGCAGGAUUCUACACAGGCAACCAGACAGCAAGCUCAGCUGGCAGCAGCAGCUGAAAUCGAUGAAGAACCAGUCAGUAAAGCGAAACAGAGCCGGAGUGAAAAGAAGGCACGGAAGGCUAUGUCCAAACUGGGCCUUCGACAGGUUACAGGGGUUACUAGAGUCACUAUCCGGAAAUCUAAGAAUAUCCUUUUUGUCAUCACAAAACCAGAUGUGUACAAGAGCCCAGCUUCAGAUACCUACAUUCUUUUUGGGGAAGCCAAGAUUGAGGAUUUAUCUCAGCAAGCACAGUUAGCAGCUGCUGAGAAAUUCAAAGUUCAAGGUGAAGCUGUCUCAAACAUCCAAGAAAACACACAGACUCCAACUGUGCAAGAGGAGAGUGAAGAGGAAGAGGUUGAUGAAACAAAUGUGGAAGUUAAGGACAUAGAAUUGGUCAUGUCACAAGCAAAUGUGUCUAGAGCAAAGGCAGUCCGAGCCCUGAAGAACAACAGUAGUGAUAUUGUAAAUGCUGUUAUGGAAUUAAUGUAACCAUCUGAAAAGAGGACCUUUUUUUGGUGUUUCAAAAGAGUAACUGCAGCUGGGUUUGAAAUUUGUACUGUUUCUAUCAUUAAUAAAGUUAUGGCUUCUUGUUGGAUGAAAAA